rnacentral:rRNA from 1 species
UGAAAUUCUUAGGGUUAAACCAAAGAACUGCAUUGGAAACUGGUAACCUAGAGUAUGGGAGGGGGAGAUGAAAUUAGUGGGUAGGGGGUAAAAUCCGUAGAUAUCACUAGGAAUACCGAAAGCGAAGGCGAUCUCCUGGAACAAUACUGACGCUAAGGCGUGAAAGCGUGGGGAGCAAACGGGAUUAGAUACCCCGGUAGUCCACGCCUUAAACGAUGUUCACUAGUCGUCGGGAUGCUAGUCAUCUCGGUGAUGCACUUAACAGAUUAAGUGAACCGCCUGGGGAGUACGGUCGCAAGAUUAAAACUCAAAGGAAUAGACGGGGACCCGCACAAGUGGUGGAGCAUGUGGUUUAAUUCGAAGAUACGCGAAGAACCUUACCUAGCCUUGACAUUGAUUGAACGGACCAGAGAUGGACCGGUGCCCUUCGGGGAACAUGAAAACAGGUGCUGCACGGCUGUCGUCAGCUCGUGUCGUGAGAUGUUGGGUUAAGUCCCGCAACGAGCGCAACCCUCGUCCUUAGUUGCCAGCAGGUUAAGCUGGGCACUCUAGGGAGACUGCCUUCGUAAGGAGGAGGAAGGUGAGGACGACGUCAAGUCAUCAUGGCCCUUAUGGCUAGGGCUACACACGUGCUACAAUGGGGCGUACAGAGAGUUGCGAUACCGCGAGGUGGAGCUAAUCUCACAAAGCGUCUCUCAGUUCGGAUUGAAGUCUGCAACUCGACUUCAUGAAGCUCAGGAAACAGGUAUUACCAGGUCUACACCGAGCUGGGUCAGGAGCUAGGAUCCACUAGUAUCGGCCCCCAGUGUGCCGGAAUUUGCCAUUAGAGUUUAAUCCUGGCUCAUGGAAGUCGUAACGACGUAACCGUUGAGAGUUUGAUCAAGGGUCAGGAAGUCGUAACAAGGUAACC